CACGCAGGUGGCUGAGUCAGUCGAUUGUGAAAGCCCUGGGCUUAACCUGGGAAUUGCAGUCGGUACUACUCAGCUAGAGUAUGGGAGAGGGUAGUGGAAUUCCCGGUGUAGCGGUGAAAUGCGUAGAUAUCGGGAGGAACAUCAGUGGCGAAGGCGGCUACCUGGCCCAAUACUGACACUCAGGUGCGACAGCUGGGAGCAAACA
rnacentral:rRNA from 1 species